rnacentral:misc_RNA from 1 species
UUAUAAUUCAACUUUGAUUAGCUAUAAGAUUUUAGUAAUUCUAUUGUUGAGUUUUCAACAAUUAAUGGUAUUCAUAAGUUCAAUUAUAAAUGCAAAUAAAAAUAAAAAAAUCAUAACAUUGAAACAUAUAAGGGGAAAGAUAAAGGGCUUCUUUAAUUCCACACUACUAAUAUACUUUUCAACCUUAUUCCAACCUUUAAAUCUUAAUUCAUACAAUUUAUUAAUCAUAUCAAUGGAAUUUAUUUGUGUAUCAAUGAUUUCCUACCAUGACUAUCAUCAAAUUACCAUUAAUCAAUUGAAAUAGAAUGAAGAAAAACAUUAAAUGAAUUUUUUAAUUAAAUACACAACAAGAAUAUCACAUACAAUUGUAUAUAUACCAGCAUGCGCAUGUAUAUGCACAUAAUCAUUAAUCAUCUAUGAUUUAUGUUAGAUUAUUUUUCUUUUCAAUUUUGUAUAUCAUGAUAUACUUGCAUCUUUAUAACUAAGUUUUAUUAUUGCUAUUAUCUAAUGAGAACAUGCACUAAGAAUUAUGAUUUGUGUUGAGUAUUAUUAAUUGUUACAAGCAAUGAACAUGACAAAUGAAUAGUACUAAUGAGCAACAAAAGUACCCAUGAUCAUAUAUCCACCAUAAAUACUCACCUUGUCUCGCUAUAUCUGCAUCAG